GACGAACGCUGGCGGCGUGCUUAACACAUGCAAGUCGAACGGUGAAGGGACGGGUUUUUGCUGGUUCUGGAUGAGUGGCGAACGGGUGAGUAACACGUAAGCAACCUGCCCCCUUGUUCUGGAUAACCGCAUGAAAGGGUGGCUAAUACGGGAUACUCUGCGCCCGCUGCAUGGUGGGUGGGGGAAAGGUAGUGUGUCGGUGGGGGAUGGGCUCGCGGCCGAUGAGUUGGUUGGUGGGGUGAGGGCCUACGAGGGCGGUGCCGGGUGGCGGGGCUGAGAGGGUGGCCGGCCAGAGAGGGACUGAGGCACCGCCCGGACUCCGACGGGAGCCAGCAGUGUGCAAUAGUGAACAAUGGGAGCAAGCCUGAGGCAGCGCCGCCGCGUGAGGAAUGGAGGCGUUCGGGUUGUAAACCUCUUUCGGCAGUAAAGCAGGCCUGGCCCUUAUGUAGGUGGAUUGACGGUAGCGGGAUAAGAAGCGCCGGCUAACUACGUG
rnacentral:rRNA from 1 species